ACAAACUUUACCAUUUUCACCUCCUGUAAUGAAACUGGAUAUAAUUAGUUAUCAAAGGUUCCAGGCGUAUAAUUUGAUAUAUAAGGCUGUAGAUAACAACAAUUAGAAAACCCAUACCGUAUAGUCGGCUAUUAAAAGGCCAGGUGUGAAAAAUGUCAAACAAAUGGCCUAAAAACAAUUUACGAAAAUAAAAUAUAACAGACACGUCACAAGGACUACAACUAUAGGCACAUACAGAAUCAUAUUAAGUUGUUGUUAAGUACAAUGCAGAAUGAGGUUGGUUGAAAUCUGGAUACUGUGAUUCAAUAAUACUCGUUGGAUAUUAAUUUUCGUGAAUUUCAUGAGUACCGGGAAACCACGAACUUAAAUGUUCAACGAAUUACAAAUUUUCUUAAGGAAUGAAUGCAAACUUUGCCAAAACCACGGAUUUGAAUGCAAACGAGUUUUUCUCGAUCCAUGAAAAUGGAAACCAC
rnacentral:lncRNA from 1 species